rnacentral:rRNA from 1 species
CUACGGGAGGCAGCAGUGAGGAAUAUUGCACAAUGGGGGGAACCCUGAUGCAGCCACGCCGCGUGGAGGAUGACGCAUUUCGGUGUGUAAACUCCUUUUAUAUGUCAAGAAAAUGACGGUAGCAUAUGAAUAAGCACCGGCUAACUCCGUGCCAGCAGCCGCGGUAAUACGGGGGGUGCAAGCGUUACUCGGAAUCACUGGGCGUAAAGGACGCGUAGGCGGGUUGGAAAGUCAGGUGUGAAAUCCUACAGCUUAACUGUAGAACUGCACUUGAAACUUCUAAUCUAGAGUAUGGGAGGGGGAGAUGGAAUUAGUGGUGUAGGGGUAAAAUCCGUAGAUAUCACUAGGAAUACCUAAAGCGAAGGCGAUCUCCUGGAACAUUACUGACGCUAAGGCGUGAAAGCGUGGGGAGCAAACAGGAUUAGAUACCCGAGUAGUC